rnacentral:misc_RNA from 1 species
ACCUUAAGAUGACGAAGUUGUUGAGUGUUCACACAGAUUGCCUUGAUUCAAGUUUAGAGACAGUACACGAAGUGGGUCUGUAGCUCAGGUGGUUAGAGCGCACCCCUGAUAAGGGUGAGGUCGGUGGUUCGAGUCCACUCAGACCCACCACUUCGUUCCCGAUUAUGGGGCUAUAGCUCAGCUGGGAGAGCGCCUGCUUUGCACGCAGGAGGUCUGCGGUUCGAUCCCGCAUAGCUCCACCAUAAUCGAUACUGAAUUUUGCGAGAAGCAAAAGCCAUGCGUUGAACGAUAUUCAAUCUAUGUCUUUGACUUCUUUAUGAAGUUUGCUCUUUAACAAUCUGGAAAGCUGAUUUAAAAAGUAGUUCUCAAACAUUUGUUACAAGUGCUUUGGAAACUUCUUGGCGAAAACCAAAUUUUAUUUGGUCCUUGUUGAACAGCAACAAGCUGUGCCGGUUUCACCGACACUUCUUGGGGUUGUAU